UACGGGGGGAGCGAGCGUUGUUCGGAAUCACUGGGCGUAAAGGGCGCGUAGGCGGUUGGAUAAGUCAGAGGUGAAAUGCCAGGGCUUAACCUUGGAAUUGCCUUUGAUACUGCCCGACUAGAGGACGGAAGAGGAUAGUGGAAUUCCUGGUGUAGCGGUGAAAUGCGUAGAUAUCGGGAGGAACACCUGUGGCGAAAGCGGCUCACUGGACCACAACUGACGCUGAGGCGCGAAAGCUAGGGGAGCAAACAGG
rnacentral:rRNA from 1 species